rnacentral:rRNA from 1 species
AUUGAACGCUGGCGGCAGGCCUAACACAUGCAAGUCGAGCGGAUGAGUGGAGCUUGCUCCAUGAUUCAGCGGCGGACGGGUGAGUAAUGCCUAGGAAUCUGCCUGGUAGUGGGGGACAACGUUUCGAAAGGAACGCUAAUACCGCAUACGUCCUACGGGAGAAAGUGGGGGAUCUUCGGACCUCACGCUAUCAGAUGAGCCUAGGUCGGAUUAGCUAGUUGGUGGGAUAAAGCUUACCAAGCCGACGAUCUGUAGCUGGUCUGAGAGGACGACCAGCCACACUGGGACUGAGACACGGCCCAG